rnacentral:rRNA from 1 species
GAUGAACGCUGGCGGCGUGCUUAACACAUGCAAGUCGAGCGAUGAAGUUUCCUUCGGGAAACGGAUUAGCGGCGGACGGGUGAGUAACACGUGGGUAACCUGCCUCAUAGAGUGGAAUAGCCUUCCGAAAGGAAGAUUAAUACCGCAUAACGUUGAAAGAUGGCAUCAUCAUUCAACCAAAGGAGCAAUCCGCUAUGAGAUGGACCCGCGGCGCAUUAGCUAGUUGGUAGGGUAACGGCCUACCAAGGCGACGAUGCGUAGCCGACCUGAGAGGGUGAUCGGCCACAUUGGGACUGAGACACGGCCCAGACUCCUACGGGAGGCAGCAGUGGGGAAUAUUGCACAAUGGGGGAAACCCUGAUGCAGCAACGCCGCGUGAGUGAUGAAGGUUUUCGGAUCGUAAAGCUCUGUCUUUGGGGAAGAUAAUGACGGUACCCAAGGAGGAAGCCACGGCUAACUACGUG